rnacentral:rRNA from 1 species
UACGUAGGGGGCAAGCGUUGUCCGGAAUCAUUGGGCGUAAAGAGCGUGUAGGCGGCCCGAUAAGUCCGCUGUGAAAGUCCAGGGCUCAACCCUGGAAUGCCAGUGGAAACUGUCGGGCUGGAGUCCGGAAGAGGCGAGUGGAAUUCCUGGUGUAGCGGUGAAAUGCGCAGAUAUCAGGAGGAACACCGAUGGCGAAGGCAGGUCUCUGGGCCAUAACUGACGCUGAGAAGCGAAAGCAUGGGGAGCGAACAGG